rnacentral:rRNA from 1 species
AUUGAACGCUGGCGGCAGGCCUAACACAUGCAAGUCGAACGAGUGGCGGACGGGUGAGUAAUGUCUGGGAAACUGCCCGAUGGAGGGGGAUAACUACUGGACACGGUAGCUAAUACCGCAUACCAUCGGAUGUGCCCCGGUGGGAUUAGCUAGUAGGUGGGGUAACGGCUCACCUAUGCGACGAUCCCUAGCUGGGCUGAGAGGAUGACCAGCCACACUGUAACUGAGCCACGGUCCAGACUCCUACGGGAGGCAGCAGUGGGGAAGAUUGCACAAUGGGCGCAAGCCUGAUGCAGCCAGGCCGCGGGUAUGAAGAAGGCCUUCGGGUUGUAAAGUACUUUCAGCGAGGAGGCGUUACUCGCAGAAGAAGCACCGGCUAACUCCGUGCCAGCAGCCGCGGUAAUAC